rnacentral:misc_RNA from 1 species
AACGCACAUUGCGCCCCUUGGUAUUCCUCGGGGCAUGCCUAUUCGAGCGUCGUUUCCACCCUCAAGCCCAGGCUUGGUGUUGGGGAUCGCCCCUCCCUCGCGAGGCGGCGGCCCUUGAAUUCAUCGGCGGUGCCGGUGUGGCCCUGAGCGCAGCAGCGAUGCAGCUCUCGACCCUCCGAAACCAGCCGCGCAAGACAGCAGGCGGUACCCUUCGCGGUCCACCAGCAAAAAUCCAAACGUCGACCUCGAAUUAGGUAGGGAUACCCGCUGAACUUAA